GCCGAUUUAGCUCAGUUGGUAGAGCACCGCUUUCGUAAAGCGGGGGCCACAGGUUCAAGUCCUGUAAUCGGCACCA
rnacentral:tRNA from 1 species